GACGAACGCUGGCGGCGUGCCUAAUACAUGCAAGUCGAACGCAGUGGGGAUGGGUGAGUAACACGUGGCUAACCUCCCAUCAGAGGGGAUAAAACUUGGAAACAGGUGCUAAACCGAUACUGAUGGAUGGACCCGCGGUGCAUUAGCUAGUUGGUGAGGUAACGGCUCACCAAGGCCACGAUGCAUAGCCGAUCUGAGAGGGUGAUCGGCCACACUGGGACUGAGACACGGCCCAGACUCCUACGGGAGGCAGCAGUGGGGAAUCUUGGGCAAUGGACGAAAGUCUGACCGAGCAACGCCGCGUGAGUGAAGAAGGUUUUCGGAUCGUAAAGCUCUGUUGUUAGAGAAGCGGUAUCUAACCAGAAAGCCACGGCUAACUACGUGCCAGCCGCCGCGGUAAUUC
rnacentral:rRNA from 1 species